rnacentral:rRNA from 1 species
CACCGCGGUUAUACGAGAGGCCCAAGCUGACAGACCCUCGGCGUAAAGCGUGGUUAAUGAUCAGUAAAAUUAAAGCCGAAUUUUCCCUAAACUGUUAUACGCUCUCGGGAAAUAGAAGCCCCACUACGAAAGUGGCUUUAUAAAGUUGAACCCACGAAAGCUAAGACA